CUUUCUCUCUCCAAAUCUCCCCAUCCGAUGACCUACCGAUUUCAUUCAUAAAUAUAAACAAACUCUAGUCUGCUGCUGCUCUCUCCAAAUCUCCCCGUUAGUGCUUUCUGCUGGUCAUCGUUACUGCCUGCGAUUGCUCCAUCAGCGCUUUCUCCAAGUUCGGCGCUUGAAGUUUGCCGCCCAUCGUUACUGCCUGCGUCUGCUCCAUUGGUUCAAUUUCUGUUUCAUUAUUGACUGCCUUGUUUAUAUAGUUGUUGGAGGAAAGCAACUAUGUGAGCUAUGGACGGAUGUUGAGAAAAGCUAAAACCGAACUCCUUGAAUUCAAGUGGAAAACAAAUGGCAUUACCGAAGAUUGUGGAGUGUAUGCUAUGCGACAUAUGGAGACGUAUAUGGGGACUAAGGUUAAUGAUUGGAAGGGCGACCUUACCAACAAGUCAUCCAAGUCAUUCCAGUUGCUCUGUGCGAAAUUCAUUACAGCUAUGGUUUAUAGUAACGAAAACAAGGUCGUGGAUUACAUGAUGAGAACAGCAACAAGCCACCUGGAAGAGGCACGAAAGAAGGGACCCGUUGAUGUUGAAAAGAUGGUGGCAGAUUUCCCCAAACCUUGAAUGGUGACCGACAUUGUUAUAGAAAAAUGACAAUUACUUUAUUUUGAUUUAAAUUUGUUCGGAAUAUGUGUUUGUUUUGGUGUAUGGAUUGCUUGGUUUUAGAAUUUAGUUUUUCAUUGUUGUGCU